UCGGACGCGACUGGUAGGGCGUCCUCCUCCACCACCUCGCCCUUGGCGAUGUCGUGCGCGACGGGUAUGGCGUGCUCCUCCGCCACCUCGACCGUGGGCUGCGGCUCGUCGGACACGGUAAGGGGAUCCCGCGCGACGCCGUCGAGAUGUGGAGCCUGGCCGUCCAUACCGGAGUGCAGGGCGUCCUCCACCUCGACAGGACGCGGCGGGUGGAGCUCGUCGCCGGCUGCAAGGGGCUCGGGCACGACGGCGUCGAGAAGAGGUGGAGCCUGGCCGUCCAUUCCGGUGGGGGAGAUCAGGGGAGCCGAGGCGCCGCCGCCGCUCGUAGUCGUCGGCUGGCGGCGGCUUCGGGCGGAGGCGUGCGGCCGCGGUCUCGAGG
rnacentral:lncRNA from 1 species